rnacentral:tRNA from 1 species
GGGGAUGGUUCAGCGGUAGAGCACAUGCCUGACAUACAUGAGGUCCUGGGUUCAAUCACCAGUAUCUCCA